CCAACCAUAGAUCAGUUGGUAGGGGGGAGGACUGUAGGUGUUGUGCGGAAGUCCUUAGGUCGCUGGUUCGAAUCCUGCUGGUUGGA
rnacentral:tRNA from 1 species